rfam:Schistosoma curassoni strain Dakar, Senegal genome assembly, scaffold: SCTD_scaffold0003768
AUCCAGCUAACAAGUCCCACAAUAGGACGAAAUGAGCGUCAAACUGGAU